CGAGUCGGUCGGGUGACCGCAGUUGCGCGCGAGAGCGCGCGGUUGAGGAAAGUCGGGACUUCACAGGACAGAGUGCUGGCGCGAGCCAGGUCGGGGAAACCUGACAUCCCGUGCAACAGAAAGCACACCGCCGAUGGCGCGACUUCGGUCGCGAUCAGGCAAGGGUGAAACGGUGCGGUAAGAGCGCCUUCGGGUAGAUCGCCAAGAUGGAUGGUCACCGCCGGCGAUUCGUAAGGGUCGCCGGUACAGAAUCCCGCUUAUAGAUCGACUCGCCGU
rnacentral:RNase_P_RNA from 1 species